AUGCUAGAGCACUUUUUCAAUGUGCUCCCCAACGAGAAGGAGAUGACGCAUUCGUAUGUCAAUCCAUAUCAACUUUCGAUGCCAUUGACUGCACCUACCAUGGUGACCAUGGGUAAUGGGGAAUCAGGGUUCGAUUCCAUACAGGGACCCUGACAAAUGGCUACCACAUGAAAAGAAGGCA